rnacentral:tRNA from 1 species
GCGGAAGUGGUGGAAUUGGUAGACACACCAUCUUGAGGGGGUGGCGCUGAAUAAGCGUGGGGGUUCAAAUCCCCCCUUCCGCACCA